rnacentral:rRNA from 1 species
GAUGAACGCUGGCGGCGUGCCUAAUACAUGCAAGUCGAGCGAACAGACGAGGAGCUUGCUCCUCUGACGUUAGCGGCGGACGGGUGAGUAACACGUGGAUAACCUACCUAUAAGACUGGGAUAACUUCGGGAAACCGGAGCUAAUACCGGAUAAUAUAUUGAACCGCAUGGUUCAAUAGUGAAAGACGGUUUUGCUGUCACUUAUAGAUGGAUCCGCGCCGCAUUAGCUAGUUGGUAAGGUAACGGCUUACCAAGGCAACGAUGCGUAGCCGACCUGAGAGGGUGACCGGCCACACUGGAACUGAGACUCGGUCCAGACUCCUACGGGAGGCAGCAGUAGGGAAUCUUCCGCAAUGGGCGAAAGCCUGACGGAGCAACGCCGCGUGAGUGAUGAAGGUCUUCGGAUCGUAAAACUCUGUUAUUAGGGAAGAACAAAUGUGUAAGUAACUAUGCACGUCUUGACGGUACCUAAUCAGAAAGCCACGGCUAACUACGUG